AUUGUAAAAUCAUUUGAUGAUCCACCGAUACCCACAAUUUGUCUUCUUUUCCUUUCUCCGCGUCGACCACCACCUCCAUUUCCCUCCCCGCGACGAUUCGACCCACCGGCCGAUGCCACCUCCAUUUUCCCCUCCCUCUGUCGGCGAUUCGACUCACCGUCCGCAGCCGCGAUCUGCCACCUUUCGCCCCCGCUAGAGAUCUGCUCUUCCACCUUCUCCGAUGCCACCUCCAUUUUCCCCUCCCUCCCCCGGCGAUUCGACUCACCGGCCGCACUCCACCGCGAUUCGCCUUCUGAUUCGACCAGAACCUGCCGCCCCUCACAAUCGCCGGAAGAAAGAAGAAGAAUUCACAGAAGCCCUCUUUUCGUAUCUGCAGAUUCGGGGGUUUUCCAUUUUCCCCCUUUUUCGCUUUUCGUAGAAUUUGCCGCGGUUCCUCUCGAUGCUCGAACGCGCGCCUCCGCCCCGAGCUCCGCCGCGGCGAUCCUCUACUCACCCGGCACUACGGGGUGAGUAACGGGAGCCCUGCUUACGUACCGGAAUUUGAUCGCAUUGGUGCCAGGGCUGUAUCACAACUGGUGGGACCUCCCACCGCUGCAUUCUGCUUCGCCGGACCACCCGCUCCGGCGCCCUCCGCGAUCUGCCGUGAUUCUUGGUAUGUAUUAAUUAGUUUCCUGAUUUAAUUCCUACACAGCCAUUGUAAAUAUAGAAUGAUUAUAUUUAAGUUUAGAAAGAUUUGUUUUUGGAAAGAUGUUUAAUAAUGGAAACUUAAAACCUAGAUUUUGAGCUAUAAAUUUCUUAGUUAAUAGUGAUUUACACCGCAUACUUUUCUUCUCAUAUAUUGUGUUUCUUCUUCAUUGUUUGAGAAUCGACUAAGUCGACGGAGUUAGUCUUCUCUGCCGCGACUAUAGGCCGUCCUUGAGCCCGAAAAUCGUUCGACGACGCGCAGUCGUGCCAUCGGCUCGAGUCCAAGCACCCAAAUCAAUAUUUUUGGCUUCCUUUCAUCUACAAUUGUAAGUGGACGGGGAAUCUCAGACCUUACUACAGCAACGACAAAAUCAACAGCAACAACAACUGGCUCCACUACAAGACAAUUACAUACAGAGCAGAGUAGAGGCUCUUCAGAACGUGGUAAAAAUGUUGCUAUUGAUCAACUAAUGGACUUCAUCUUUGCUGCACGGAUGGCUAGAAAGUAUGAAAAUAUACAAAUAAUUCAAUUCCUGGAAAUGAGGAAACCGAAAAGGUCUUAGAUGACAUCUUUUUUUUAAUUUGUUAGAUUAGAUCUGAUGAUUUCAGAUGGUUAGGUUACAUGUUUGGGGAUGUCAUCAUAGAUUUUAUUUGCUAUUUAUACAGAUACUUAUUUAUUUCUA